rnacentral:lncRNA from 10 species
GUGGUGGGAAGGAAUCCUUACUACCUUCUACUUGAAUGAGGAGUACACUAACUGCACGCAACGUGGAGCUGUUUAGAGAUGAGACGGGAUGUUGAUGAAAUAAAAAGGCUCACGGCCAAAAGCACAGUUGUAACUGAGCUGAUGAAAGGCUGACUUAGCACCGCUGAAAACCGACCACGGCGCAGAGUACAAAACUAAGAAGUCACCUCAGAAAGCAGAGAAAAUAUGAGAAAGGGAGAAAAAAAAAAGAUGAAACUUCAGAAAAUAGAAACACAGUAGAAAUCACAGAGAUCCAACCCAUGGAUAAAAUGUGUUGGCCAAAGGGAAGUCAAAACAUCACAUUGAUCAUAAGCAAAGGCCAGGACAUAACAGAAAAGAACUUUUGAGAUAUGAAAAAAUGACUGGAGACUAAAAGGUAAAAUGAAGGAUCAGUU